rnacentral:misc_RNA from 1 species
GAUGAAGAACGUAGCAAAAUGUGAUAAGUAAUGUCAAUUGCAGAAUUCAGUGAAUCAUCGAAUCUUUGAACGCACAUUGCGCCCGCCAGUAUUCUGGCGGGCAUGCCUGUUCGAGCGUCAUUUCAACCAUCAAGCCCCCGGCUUGUGUUGGGGACCUGCGGCUGCCGCAGGCCCUGAAAAGCAGUGGCGGGCUCGCUGUCACACCGAGCGUAGUAGCAUACAUCUCGCUCUGGGCGUGCUGCGGGUUCCGGCCGUUAAACCACCUUCAUAACCCAAGGUUGACCUCGGAUCAGGUAGGAAGACCCGCUGAACUUAAGCAUAUCAAUAAGCGGAGGA